UCAGCUAAGUGGCGCACGGGUGAGUAAUAUAUAGGUAACAUGCCCUAGAGAGGGGGAUAACAGAUGGAAACGUCUGCUAACACCCCAUAUGCCUUUAAGACUAAAGUCUGCAAGGGAAACAUUUAUGGCUCUAGGAUUGGCCUGUACGGUAUCAGUUAGUUGGUGAGGUAAUGGCUCACCAAGACAAUGACACCUAACUGGUUUGAGAGGAUGAUCAGUCACACUGGAACUGAGACACGGUCCAGACUCUACGGGAGGCAGCAGUGGGGAAUAUUGCACAAUGGACGAAAGUCUGAUGCAGCAACGCCGCGUGGAGGAUGACACAUUUCGGUGCGUAAACUCCUUUUAUAUAGGAAGAUAAUGACGGUACUAUAUGAAUAAGCACCGGCUAACUCCGUGCCAGCAGCCGCGGUAAUACGGAGGGUGCAAGCGUUACUCGGAAUUACUGGGCGUAAAGAGCGUGUAGGCGGAUAGAUAAGUUGGAAGUGAAAUCCUAUGGCUCAACCAUAGAACUGCUUCCAAAACUGUCUAUCUAGAAUGUGGGAGAGGUAGAUGGAAUUUCUGGUGUAGGGGUAAAAUCCGUAGAUAUCAGAAGGAAUACCGAUUGCGAAGGCGAUCUACUGGAACACAAUUGACGCUGAGACGCGAAAGCGUGGGGAGCAAACAGGAUUAGAUASCCUGGUAGUCCACGCCCUAAACGAUGUACACUAGUUGUUGUGAGGCUAGACCUUGCAGUAAUGCAGUUAACACAUUAAGUGUACCG
rnacentral:rRNA from 1 species